rnacentral:lncRNA from 1 species
GUUUAGAGGAGCGAGUAAGAGGGGGAAAAAAAAGCAAACAAUAAACACAGCUCUUUCCAGCUAGAAUAUUAGGCACCACGAGAAAAAAUAUUUGCCAAGCGAUUUUCGCUUAAAAGAAGGGUGUGAGGGGAAAAUAAUAUUUCAGAUUCCUCAAGAAUUAACCCAAAAUGUUUGGACCAGAAGCCGCUUCCAAAGGUCAAGCCAUUCUGAGCCUUGGCCCCACCAGCGCUUCCAGCCACUCAUUAAAUUACAGACGAGUUCUUAAAGGUACCACCACAUUUCUCCACAUGAAAGGAACGAGGUUCACGUACAGCUUCCCCUCGCAAAACCUUCUCCCCAAUUCAGUUACAGCCGAAAAGGCACCUAUCCUUGGAAAAAAACACCUUCCUGCCCUUGCUAGGGGCUUGCAGGGGAAGCUGGUUUUACCUGUCAAGAACCUCUGGCACUUGAGGACGGGCUGGCCUCUCACAGAGGCAUGGGUGACCCUAGGAACACAGCCGAAAAUGGGGCUGCGUGCUUGCUUCCAUGGUCUUGUGUCUCGGGACCGGAUCGGGGUGACCUGGCAGCCCGGGUUCGGAGAAACCUUUCAGCUGCCUGAAAUUCGAGUCAUUAAACUGUUCCCUGAGGUCAGCCUACAGAGGCUUGGUGCGUGUUUCCUACAUGUCCGUGUCUAUGCAGCCUAUGUACAUCCGGAGAGAUGCACACAGACACCGCGCCAUGGGGCACGGUGCGAAGGAGAAGGGAAGAAUCUGGAUUGGUUGCCCAGAAACCUUGAUUUCUCAUCACAGCUCUGCCUGGAACACCCUCGGGGACACUGA